rnacentral:sRNA from 1 species
UACAUUUUACAUGUUUUGAGCAUCCAUUUGUCAUCACUUUAGCAUCAUAUCA